rnacentral:lncRNA from 1 species
GCUUACUGGUAUCCCUGGGGGUCCAUAGGGAUGUCCCACUACGCGUGAACCCAUAUCAAAACUUGUCAAGUAACAGGGCGUCCCUAUACCCUGUCCGGUAUGAGCACCAAAAGUAUCAUCCCUCAAUAUCACGUCCGGUAUGAAGGUGAAUCGGGCUGUUCCCAUAUCCCGUCCAAUAUGAAUGCAAAAAAUGUCAUCCCUUAAUACCCCGUCCGGUAUGAGAAUGAAUC